rnacentral:rRNA from 1 species
AUUGAACGCUGGCGGCAGGCCUAACACAUGCAAGUCGAGCGGAUGAAGGGAGCUUGCUCCUGGAUUCAGCGGCGGACGGGUGAGUAAUGCCUAGGAAUCUGCCUGGUAGUGGGGGAUAACAUCCGGAAACGGGCGCUAAUACCGCAUACGUCCUGAGGGAGAAAGUGGGGGAUCUUCGGACCUCACGCUAUCAGAUGAGCCUAGGCCGGAUUAGCUAGUUGGUGGGGUAAAGGCCUACCAAGGCGACGAUCCGUAACUGGUCUGAGAGGAUGAUCAGUCACACUGGAACUGAGACACGGUCCAGACUCCUACGGGAGGCAGCAGUGGGGAAUAUUGGACAAUGGGCGAAAGCCUGAUCCAGCCAUGCCGCGUGUGUGAAGAAGGUCUUCGGAUUGUAAAGCACUUUAAGUUGGGAGGAAGGGCAGUAAGUUAAUACCUUGCUGUUUUGACGUUACCAACAGAAUAAGCACCGGCUAACUUCGUG